AGGACGAACGCUGGCGGCGUGCUUAACACAUGCAAGUCGAGCGGAAAGGCCCUUCGGGGUACUCGAGCGGCGACCGGGUGAGUAACACGUGACUAACCUACCUUCGAGUGGGGAUAACCUCGGGAAACCGAGGCUAAUACCGCAUAACAUCGCAAGAUCAAAGCAGCAAUGCGCUGGAAGAGGGGGUCGCGGCUGAUUAGCUAGUUGGCGGGGUAACGGCCCACCAAGGCGAAGAUCGGUAG
rnacentral:rRNA from 1 species